rnacentral:tRNA from 1 species
CUUCCUGUGGAUCAGGUGGUAGAGCAUUGCGCCAACAUCGCAAAGGUCAUGGGUUCAAAUCCCAGGAAAA